rnacentral:rRNA from 1 species
AUGGUUGGAGGGCCAACAGAGGGAAAUUGGAGACUUACUGGCUUCUAUGGUGAGCCUAGAUGGGAGGAUAAACAUCUAACAUGGGGCUAUCUACGGGGUCUGCAUCAUGAGGGACAAAUCCCAUGGGUGGUCGUAGGAGAUUUUAACGAGAUCCUAUACUCACAUGAGAAAGAAGGCGGAGCUCCUAGGCCAGUCAAUAUGAUGCAAAACUUUAGAGAUGCGCUGGUGGACUGCGAGCUGGAGGACAUGGGGUUUACAGGUGAUCAAUUCACAUGGCGGAGGCGCGGACUGCGGGAACGCCUAGACAGAGCAGUGUGUAAUGGACCUUUCCAUGGGCUGUUCCCAGCUGCGACGGUGACCAAUGCACCGCAUACAAAAUCUGACCACCGACCGGUGAUC